ensembl:lncRNA
GUCUAGAGAGAUAUUACAGUCAGUAUGUUAUAGAGAGAUAUACAGCUCAGUCUGUAUAGAGAGAUAUACAGCUCAGUCUGUCCAGAGAGAGAGAUAUACAGCUCAGUCUGUCUAGAG